rnacentral:tRNA from 1 species
GAAGUAGUUCAGUGGUAGAACACCACCUUGCCAAGGUGGGGGUCGCGGGUUCGAAUCCCGUCUUC